AUUGAACGCUGGCGGCAUGCUUUACACAUGCAAGUCGGACGGUAGAGGGGGCAACCCCUUGAGAGUGGCGAACGGGUGAGCAAUGCAUCGGAACGUGCCCAGUAGUGGGGGAUAGCCCGGCGAAAGCCGGAUUAAUACCGCAUGAGACCUAAGGGUGAAAGAGGGGGAUCGCAAGACCUCUCGCUACUGGAGCGGCCGAUGUCAGAUUAGGUAGUUGGUGGGGUAAAGGCCUACCAAGCCCGCGAUCUGUAGCUGGUCUGAGAGGACGACCAGCCGCACUGGGACUGGGACACGGCCCAGACUCCUACGGGAGGCAGCAGUGGGGAAUUUUGGGCAAUGGGCGCAAGCCUGAUCCAGCCAUGCCGCGUGCGGGAAGAAGGCCUUCGGGUUGUAAACCGCUUUUGUCAGGGAAGAAAUCUUUUGGGCUAAUACCCCGAGAGGGUGACGGUACCUGAAGAAUAAGCACCGGCUAACUACGUGCCAGCAGCCGCCGUAACAC
rnacentral:rRNA from 1 species